rnacentral:rRNA from 1 species
UACGGAGGGUGCAAGCGUUAUCCGGAUUCACUGGGUUUAAAGGGUGCGUAGGCGGGCAGGUAAGUCAGUGGUGAAAUCUUCGAGCUUAACUCGGAAACUGCCUUUGAUACUAUCUGUCUUGAAUAUUGUGGAGGUAAGCGGAAUAUGUCAUGUAGCGGUGAAAUGCUUAGAGAUGACAUAGAACACCCAUUGCGAAGGCAGCUUACUACGCAUAUAUUGACGCUGAAGCACGAAAGCGUGGGGAUCAAACAGG